AGAACGCAACGGACCCCAGCAACAAAGGAGUGCAGAAACUCUGAGUGCGGCCUUCUGCUUCCCCGGAUUGACAGUUGGCAGGGCCCCGUCCCAGGGCCCCUGAUUGGAUGGGGUUCCAGGCUCCGCCCCUCAGCCCUGAGUGACAGGGUAAGCCCUGGGUAACGGAGCCCUGCAGAGCCCGGCUGAUCAAUCCUAGCUACAGCCUUUCUAAGGCUAAGCUCCCUCCCUGCGCCCUGGUCAUUGGAUAUCUGCAUUUCAGCCAAACUUGCUACUUAUUGUUAGAAGGGGCACUGUUAGCUUCCUCGAUCUUUCAGAAAUGUGUGCUGGGAAUUCCAGACUCGGUGUUCAAUGGAGUCAUUCCUUUGCCUCAUAGCAGGAAGGAAAUCCAGGCCAGGCCAGGCAAGACUGCACCAGGAGGGAGAGGCAGGUGUCCUCUACAGGGCGGGAAUUGGGGAUGAGACUUCCUCACACUCCCCCCGUCCCACCCCUGAAUAUGGAACCGCUUCCUCCCCCUAGACUUCAUUUUCACCAGCAGAUGUUCUCACCUGGGGUCAGUUUAAGCUUCUAACCUAAGUAAACUAUUACCUUCACAAACCCUUUCUCCAGGUGACAUGUCAGACAAAUCUUACUGAGCCUGACCUUCACAGAUUAUCUUUGUAUGUACAAAUUACAGUCUGUCGCCGGGACCCUUUGCACGUAAAAACCAAACACUGCCCCCGCAAAACGUCCCUAGGCUCUAGGUACAGCCCCAGUAAGGACAGAACCUCCCCCCAACCCCCCUACACAAAGUGCACCUGCACGUGAUUCUCCUGCUUUCCAGGGCUCUGUAGCUUCUCAGGAUCCACAUUCCUUCUGCAGCUGUUCUGAGCAGCUGGAGGCCACCUGCAGUAGAGGGCAGGCUGCCCGGGAAACACCCAGGGGAGCUCCCUUUCCCUCCCUUUGCUGGCUCCAGACUGGCCUCAGCAGGGAGUCACUGGCCUUAGGCUCUGCUGCCCCCUGCAGGUUAUUCACCUCAUUGAUCGGUUACCUGAGACAAACACCCUCAGUUCCACUGUAUGUAUGUAUAAAGUGGGGAAGGAAAAUUCUAAGAUAAUUGAAGUGAAUUAAAAGACUUGCAGGCAGGGUGCGGGGGCUCACGCCUAUAAUCCCAACCCUUUUGGAGGCUGAAGCGGGAGGACUGGUUGAACCCAGGAGUUCAUCAUCCUGGAAAACGGAGCCACACCUCGUCUGUACUAAAAAUUUAAAAAUUAGCAGUGCGUGGUGUCCUGAACCUCUAGUCCCAGCUACUCGGGAGGCUGAGGUGGGAAGAUCUUGAGCCCAGGAGUUUGAAGCUUCAGUGACCUAUGAUCUCGCCACUGUGCUUCAGCAAGAGUUGUGAUAGUUGUAUCAGAUAAAAUAGACUUUAAAUAAAAAACAGUACAAAAAGACAAAGAAGAUCAUGAGAUACUGAUAACAGAAUCAAUUCAGCAAGAUAAUAUAAUAAUACUAAAUAUAUAUGCAUCCAACAUUGGAGAGGCCAAAUUAAUAAAGCAAAUAUUCCUAGACCUAAAGAAAGAUAUAGAUAGCAAUACAAUAAUAGUAUGGGACUUCAGCACCUCACACACAGUAGUAGAUAUAUCAUCAAGACAGACAAUCAACAAAAAAAUUGGACUUAAGUUGGACUUUGGACCAAAUGGAGCUAACAGACAUUUACAGAACCCAACUACAGAAUAUACAUUCUUCUCAUCAGUACGUGAAACAUUCUCCAAGGUAGACCGUAUGUUAGGCCACAAAACUAGUCUCGACAAAUUUUAAAGUCAAAAUCAUUUCAAGCAUCUUCUCAGACUGCUGAAUAAAACUAAAAAUCAAUACCAAGAGGAACUUUGAAAACUGUAUAAAUACAUGGAAAUUAAACAAUGUGCUCCUGAAUGAUCUCUGAGUCAAAGAAGAAAUAAAAACAGAAAAUAAAAAUUUUGUUUGAAAUGAACAAAAAUGGCAACACAACAUAUCAAAACCUCUGGGAUAUAGGAAAUGUCAUGCUAAGAGGGAAGUUUAUAGAAUUAUAUGCCUCUGUCAAAAAAGUAACAAAUUAACAACCUAACAUGGUACCCCAUGGAACUAGGAAAACAAGAACAAAACAAAUCCAAAGUUGGCAGAAAAGAAAUAACAAAGAUCAGAGCAGAAUUAAACAAAAUCAAGACUAAAAAACAACACAAAUGAUCAACGAAACAAAAAGUUGGUUCUUUGAAAAUAUCAACAAAAGUAAUAAACUGCUGGCUAGACUAGCCAAGAAAAAAAAGAAGAUUCAAAUGAACAAAACCAGAAUUGAAAAAGAAGACAUUACACCAAUACCACAGAAAUACCAUCAGAGACUACUAUGAACAACUAUAUGCUCACAACCUAGAAAACCUAUAGGUUUCUUUGAAACGUAUAACCUCCGAAGAUUGAACCAAGAAGAAACAGAUAUCCUGAAAAGACCAAUAAUAAGUAGCAAUAUUGAAUCAGCAAUAAAAAAAUUCCCAAAAAUG
rnacentral:antisense_RNA from 1 species